GCUUAUCACCGUUCCAGAUUGAAUAUACCCGAUCUCGUCUGAUCUCGGGAAGUCAAGCAAUCUCGGGCUUGGUUAGUACU
rnacentral:rRNA from 1 species